rnacentral:rRNA from 1 species
UGGGGAAUUUUCCGCAAUGGGCGAAAGCCUGACGGAGCAACGCCGCGUGAGGGAGGAAGGUCUUUGGAUUGUAAACCUCUUUUCUCAAGGAAGAAGUUCUGACGGUACUUGAGGAAUCAGCCUCGGCUAACUCCGUGCCAGCAGCCGCGGUAAUACGGGGGAGGCAAGCGUUAUCCGGAAUUAUUGGGCGUAAAGCGUCCGCAGGUGGUCAGCCAAGUCUGCCGUCAAAUCAGGUUGCUUAACGACCUAAAGGCGGUGGAAACUGGCAGACUAGAGAGCAGUAGGGGUAGCAGGAAUUCCCAGUGUAGCGGUGAAAUGCGUAGAGAUUGGGAAUAACAUCGGUGGCGAAAGCGUGCUACUGGGCUGUAUCUGACACUCAGGGACGAAAGCUAGGGGAGCGAAAGGG